GACGAACGCUGGCGGCGUGCUUAACACAUGCAAGUCGAACGGAAAGGCCCUGCUUUUGUGGGGUGCUCGAGUGGCGAACGGGUGAGUAACACGUGAGUAACCUGCCCUUGACUUUGGGAUAACUUCAGGAAACUGGGGCUAAUACCGGAUAGGAGCUCCUGCUGCAUGGUGGGGGUUGGAAAGUUUCGGCGGUUGGGGAUGGACUCGCGGCUUAUCAGCUUGUUGGUGGGGUAGUGGCUUACCAAGGCUUUGACGGGUAGCCGGCCUGAGAGGGUGACCGGCCACAUUGGGACUGAGAUACGGCCCAGACUCCUACGGGAGGCAGCAGUGGGGAAUAUUGCACAAUGGGCGGAAGCCUGAUGCAGCAACGCCGCGUGCGGGAUGACGGCCUUCGGGUUGUAAACCGCUUUCGCCAGUGAAGAAGCGUGAGUGACGGUAAUGGGUAAAGAAGCACCGGCUAACUACGUG
rnacentral:rRNA from 1 species